GGAGAUCCACAUACUUUACUCUCCCCGAGCUUCAGACUAAUUUUUGCUAAUCCAAAGAACAACAUACAUCAAAUUAAGAAACACAGUUUUAAACCAUAAUCAAAUGAAUCUUUACAUCUAUUU